GAAAUUUUUACAUAUAUUUGCUCGCCAGCUGAACACUAAACCAUUUUUAUAUUUCUGUAUAAAAGCCUUUUCCUAGGCUGCCAGUAAGAAAAAUUACGUACAAACAGUAGGAUACCAAUAUGUAGCAAUCAUACACAGGUUUUUCAGCGCAUAAGAGGCUAGAUCAAUUGAUUUUUGAACGUAGUAGAAAAUUGAAGUUCUCACUGGAACUGCAGCACAGAGGCCAAAAACUGUUGCAGCUGAAAUAAGUUAUCACACAAUUUACUCUCAAUAACAAUUAUGGGAACUCAUCUUUUCAGGUCAAAGGCGUGACAACAGUCCAUCAAAAUUUAAUGUGUUUGAAUUUGAGCUCAAACAUUUUUCUUCUGGCUCAGACAAAAUAGCUAGAUCGAAGGUUGUACUUCCAGCCAUCAUCAGCACGAGCCAGCAAGGUAUUUUAUUUGUUAUAGUUUCCACACUGAUUGCUAUAAUAUUUAUUCAAAACUAAGCAGCCCAUGUUAGAAGGACCUAUGACAGAUGCUACUACUAACAAUAAUUUGGUCAGUAUUUUUCCAUCCGUUAUGUCGCCCUUAAAAUUACCAUUGCUACUAUCCUCGCAUGUAUACUUUGAAUUCAGGUUAGAUCUGAAGACGGCGAAAACUCACACUCAAAUGGAACUGGUGAAAUUUCAUUGUACUCCCCGCCUGCCACAACAAAUAUGCCUCCGACACUGAACAUGAUUGAUCGCCCUUCCCAGAUUGCCGCAAAAGAAAAAACAUCUAGGUCGCCCUCUCACCUCCUCUUCCAGUUCCUCCUCGCACCGUCCGCCGCCAUGGAGUCCUUCUCUCGCAGCUAGCCGAUCUUCCGUGCACCUCCUCUCGCACGCCGCCUUGUCCAACUCUCGUCACUCCUCUGAUCUAGAUCCCCUCCACCGCCAUGGACCCUCGAAGCUACGCUCCGGGCCAUCGAGGAUCUACCAUCGUUCUCGUGUUGAACUAUGACGGAUGCAUCAUUGAGUCGAGCGUCAGAAUACUUUGAAGAAGUAGAUGGGCCUCAUGGGAGGGGUGGAAGACACACACUGCACCAGUGAUUCAGAGCAUCCGGUGGCAGUACCUUUUGCAGGGAGUACUAGGGCGGGAAAGGUUGCAGCAAUGGCACGCUGAAACGAGAAAGGGGGUUCCAGUGGAGCAAAGGGAAGGAGGAGAAUGGCAUUCAACAGAAAUUGGACUAUUCAUGUUAAGUGAUACUGUGAAGUUGCUAAUUACCUUACAACUUGUCCUUGUUAUGAAUAGAUAAGGUGGUGAAGAUCUGCGGCAUCUUGUGUCCUUUUGGUUGCGAUUUCUUUUAAGCAGAGCAAGAUUUUAUGUUACAGGUUCAAAGCAGCUCUUGCAGCGAAUAUAUGGGCCUUCUUUGCGAGAUUCAGGUCCUAUGCUCCAGACUUCAACAAGCCGGUUCGGUGUAACUGUGUGUGAAAUAUAAAGUCACCAUCAACGGUAAUAUUGAAACUGAAGGCGGGGAGGAGGUGUUGGUAUACAUUAUUUUGUCUUUGAUAAUUAUAUUUUAUGUACCCUAGGCUAGGAUUCAAAUGUAAAUUGAUCUGAGCAAGGGCAUACAGUUUAAAACAAGAUUAAAUUAUACAGUGGAUAUAUAAAAUUUAAACAAAUGUAACGUCAUGCUCUUCUUUCUAGCAAGAGUUUGAACAUCA